rnacentral:rRNA from 1 species
AUGGGCUACCAAUGGAAAGUGGGGAAUGGUAAGAAAACUAAAUUCUGGGAAGAUCACUGGUUUGGGUCCUGUAGCUUAGCCACUCAAUUUUGGGAGCUAUAUAGUAUUGCCAAUGAGCACAAUAAAACCAUUGCUGAUGUUUGGCCUGAGGAUGAUAAUCGUCUUCAUUAUCAUCGAGAACUAUAUAUGUGUGUGUGGCUAUAUCAUCUAGAACUACAUAUGAUGAUCGUCAUCGAUAUCAUCUAG